rnacentral:tRNA from 2 species
CGGGGUGUGGCUCAGCUUGGUAGAGCGCGCGGUUCGGGACUGCGAGGUCGGCGGUUCAAGUCCGCCCACCCCGA